GCCGGCCAGCCAUCGCAAUCCGACUUUUGUUAUCGACCGGAGGCUUAAGGUAUUUACGAGUACGGCCGAAAGUCCUCCAUUCGAUUCGAUCGAGUAUUUAGCGGCAAAGAAAAAUACAGUCCCCGGUUCAAGAACAUUCGAGGGCAGAGAUAGUGACAAAGAGCGAGAAAAAGAGGGACGGAUGAAAGGCGGCGAAAUAAAGGAAAGAUAAGAAGGUUGGGAGAUAAGAACAAGAGCAAGGAAUUCGCUUUUAAAUUACUUUCAUAUGUUCAAAGUUUGCAAUGGAAUAAUAAGAGGAAAUCUCAAACAAGGAAAAAUAAAUACAAAGAAUGUAUUAUGUAUGAAAAGGAGGAAUGAUCUAUAUUUGCUGGCGUGAAAAAUACUAAUUAUUGAUACACACAUAUACAUAUAUGAAUAAACUCUGACUUUUGCGAUGUGC